CAGUUAAGGUCUGCCCUUGUCACUGGGAGGUACCGAGUACAGGGAUUAGUUGGCGGCUGGGUCAUGAAGAAACUUCAGGGUUUCCUCAAAGCAGUCUAACCUGGGAAAGCAAUACAGAGCCACAAGACAAGAGAGGAAGUGAGAGAUGGCGGCGGUAGAAAGACUCACUGAGGAAGAAACCAUGAGAGCAGAAUGAAAAGAAGCACAUGUUCAUCUCUAUGGCUUUGCUGUGCUUGUCUGGACCACAGAACAUCUCACAAGCUGGGGCUGUGCUGUGCGUUCCAUUCCCAGACUGAGAGAAUUUCAAAAGCUGCCGGACACAAAGAGGACUAUGGGAACUUUGCCCGCUCAGUCAAUCAGACAGACACCCCAUAGUGACCAAACGCGGGGAUGUUGUUUCCUUUGAAGCUUUCAAACACGUCUCUUUUUUCCCUCAUAUGAUAACCAUGUAAAUAA